rnacentral:rRNA from 1 species
AUGGACGGAUGUAGCAACGCGCGCCUUUCUGUUUUAGUGGGAGAGAUGGAGUUGGAGGACGUGGUGCUCUCCUGGUCGGCGCAGGAGAUCGCCGACGACGACCUCUACAGGGACAAGGUUGAGACUAUUCCCUGCAACUUCAAGUCACUUGAUCACUAUCUCACGUCUUAUCGUGUGCCUCUGAUUGAAGAAACAAGGUCAGAUCUGUGCUCAUGCCUUGAACUCAUCAGUGAAGCACCCUCGUCGAAAAUACUGUCCAUGGAGGCAGCAGGAAAACCAGGAUCAUACUUUAUGGAUGUGAACUUUUGGGACAAUGAUGCUGGUUUUUCUACCGGGGCUUAUUCUGCGAGGAAUGGUGACAUAUUUAUUUUGUCGAGCAUAAAACCUGAAGCUGCAGAAGACUUAAACCGCUAUGGUGUGACAUAUUGCUUGGCAAUGAUCACUGAGGUUUAUAUGGAUGAUGAAUACCAUAAGGGCUUCAGGGUCAAAGUUGCAAAGAAUAUUGGUUCGGAAGAAGAAGACUUAAACAAACUCAAACAUGCAAUAUUUCUCAAUAAUAUCACGACCAACAUACGGAUAUGGAAAGCACUUAUCUUUGAUACGCACAUGAAUGGCAAUUUCACAGUAAUCAAGUCGCUCCUAGCCCCCACAAAUCUGGGUGAGGAUGUUUGCCGUAUCUGUGUUAAUCAGAAUGGGGGCUGUUUAGCUUCUUUCACAGAGCAACUACUGUCAGUUAAGCUUAAUCGAUCGCAAGUGGAUGCUAUUGAAUCUGUCAUCUCAGCUGUACAAUGUGGGCAUGUGAACCUCAUGAAGCUUAUAUGGGGUCCACCAGGUACUGGGAAGACCAAGACGGUUAGCACUUUACUGUGGGUUUUGGCGAGUUUGAAAUGCAGAACUCUUACUUGUGCUCCCACAAAUGUUGCUGUUGUUGGAGUUUGCACCCGUUUCCUUCAAACCUUUUAG